rnacentral:rRNA from 1 species
AGGACGAACGCUGGCGGCGUGCUUAACACAUGCAAGUCGAGCGGAAAGGCCCUUCGGGGUACUCGAGCGGCGAACGGGUGAGUAACACGUGAGUAAUCUGCCCCUAGCUCUGGGAUAGCUCCGGGAAACCGGGAUUAAUACCGGAUACGACCACCUUAGACAUCUUUUGUGGUGGAAAGAAUUUCGGCUAGGGAUGAGCUCGCGGCCUAUCAGCUUGUUGGUGGGGUAACGGCCUACCAAGGCGACGACGGGUAGCCGGCCUGAGAGGGCGACCGGCCACACUGGGACUGAGACACGGCCCAGACUCCUACGGGAGGCAGCAGUGGGGAAUAUUGCGCAAUGGGCGAAAGCCUGACGCAGCGACGCCGCGUGAGGGAUGACGGCCUUCGGGUUGUAAACCUCUUUCAGCUCUGACGAAGCGCAGGUGACGGUAGGAGCAGAAGAAGCGACCGGCCAACUACGUGCCAGCAGCCGC